UUUCUCUCUUGUGUUUUAUGUUGAUAGUUGUCAAAAAAGUUUUGCUUUUCUUCUGUCAUUCAUUAAAAAAAAUUAGGUCAAAAUAUCAGUGGAUUUUACUCUCUAAGAAAGCAAUUUUGGACUUGGGAUGCAGCUCAGUGGUAGAGUGCUUGCCUAGCAUGUGUCCUGGGGAAUCCCCAGUACCACCACCACCACCCCCAAAAAAGGGGGGGGGGUGAGCCAGUUUUUAUCUAGGCAGACUUAAAAUGGAUUUGGAAAGGGAUACCCCUUUUCAAAUGACUUUAAAAAAAGAAAAACAUUGUGCCUUUAGCUUAUGAAACCUGAAUUUAUCUUUAUUCCUGAGUUCUAUCUAUAACUAUUGUUUAAACAUUUUAAAGAGCUAGUAUAACAGGAUAGUAGGAAUUACCAAAAAUUUCCCUGAAUCUUAUAAAAGUAACUUUUUCCCCCCCAGAGGUUAUAGUAACAUCUGGAUCAAUGCUUAGGAAAGGCAUCUGUUAAUGCUUAGGAAAGGCUACCAUUAAGUGAUUUGAUCUUGUACAUUAUCAACCAAAAGUAGACAUUCACCUGUUUAUUGAAAAUCUUAAGUCUAGUUUAAGUCUAGCUAUUCUUUCAUUUCACAUCCAUUGAAUAUUUGUUUCAGGAGUUAGCAGUGUAAAGUUUUGUAAGUCAUGGUCAUUAGAUAUCAUAGAAGGCAACAGUAGAUUAUAAAUAUAGAUAUAGACGUACUAUGAGAUGUGUGGCUAGGGUGGUGGCUCAGUGGUAGAGCACUUGCCUAGCAUGUGUGACGCACUGGGUUUGAUUCUCAGCACUGCAUAUAAAUAAGUAAAAGGCCCAUUGACAACAAAAAAAAUUAUUUAAAAUAAAUAAAUAGAAGUUAUAAUCAUCAAACCAAUCUUCCAGAAACAACAUUGGCAUUUGAAAGGUGUUCUUUGCCCCUAAUAAACUAUUCCGCUUAUAAUUUUAAUACAUGAAUAAUGUGUAUGAUUUACAUUACUCCAGGAUAGAGAAGUUUGUGAAAUGUGUGUAUUAAUGGCUUUUUAGCUAAGAUUAAUGUCCACUGGAUAUGAUCAAAGUAACUUGAUUUAAGAAUUUUCGCCCAUGUACUUCUAAUUUUUAUUUAAAGAAAAUAUAAAAAUUUGAUGAGUGACUAAGUGUGUAUGAAUCAAAAGAAAAAAAAUGUGGUUUCCUUGUGUAUAUUUUUUGCCAUUUAUUAAAAACUCAAGCCUUUAAAUGAAAAAUUCCUGGUCAGGGCUGAAUUAAUAAACCAUUCUCUGAAUUAUUUCUUUAUAGACAUAUAGAUGUUGCUUGACUAAAAUGGAAUAGGUUUGGGGCUGGAGGUUUAUGUCAGUGGUGGAACACUUGCCUAGCAUACUCAAGGUUCUGGGUUUGAUCCUUAAUCCCCUCUCAAUUCCCCUUUCUCCCCCCGGAAAAAAAACGCAAUAAUUUACUAACAAUAUCUUUUCUCCUUCCCUGUAAUCCAUAGGUUCCCUAUAGGAUCCAGGUGUUUCAUCCUCCAUUAUGACUCAUGAAACUGAUUAGUAUCCAUUAAUAUGCAUUUUUGUCAGCAGUCUUACACCACACUAGUACAUUUGACAGGAUUGAGUGCUGAGGUGAUUUUUUUUUUUUUUUUUUGAAAAA
rnacentral:lncRNA from 1 species